UGUCAUGCAGGUGCUGCACUCCAAGGCCCAUAAAGCUGAGGAGAGGUUUAGCAAGAGCUUAUGGAUACUUGUAGUAACAAGUGUAGUUAUUAGCUGGCUCACAUCUUCGAAUGGAGAGCCAACAGGGUAGAAGACAAAGAUAAGACGAAAGCAAAUAAUGUUUUUUUCUCAUAACGGGUUUAGGGAGCUAUAGCGUUCUUGAAAGUUGUUUUUUUUAUGUGAAAGUUAAAAAUACAGUGGCUUAUUGCAUAGUACAGUCAUUGCAAAAUACAUUGCAGGCAGUUUGAUCCUACUGAAUAGUAUUCAUGUCAGUCCUACGGAGACGGAACAGAUGAUUACUCUGUGUUUGCCUUGCACAGGGCAAGCUAACCUUCCCUGGUGGGUGGUGCUUUUGUAUCUGCUUCAAAGGCUCAGGUACUAGUUUGUGCUAAGGUUACUAUCGUUCAGUAUUACUUUGCUUUUCACAGUGCAUUGGCUUUAUUCAGUAAUAUUAUUGUAAUAUUGCCUGAUGUGAUGUGUUAAAUGCACCUAUAGUUCUCCCCUGAACAUGUAUGCAGGUUUGCUUUUAGCUGCUGCUGCUUGUUGUCAGUUUGCUUCUGUUCCCCAUGGUUUUAUGAUCUAUGACUCCUUUUAAAUUGAGAGGGUGAAGACUUGGGAACUGUAGAAUAAGACUUGCUGAAAAUGAAAAGCCAAGUUAGUGAUGUCUGCAUUGUAUCCACUAGUAUCGUGUUUUCUGAAAUCCUCUGCCCAGGGAGCACUCUUGUUUGGGCUGGCUCAUAGAGAAACUGGUAGCCUUGCAUGCUGUGUUGCACCUCACUGAACUCUUGAUUUCACAAGUUAACAAGGUUGUGUUGUCUUUCUUCAGUGCUGUUCCAUAGCAGUAACGCGAGGUAAGGAAUUGCUCCUUAUUGUCUGUAGCAGCUGCUGCUUGUUCUCCACAAUGUCACAUCAGUUCUAGCCAUAACAUCUUGUUUACAAUAAUCCCACAAAAUGUUCUUACUCUUGCAGGGCAUAGGUGAUUGUUUCAAUGUUAUUCCUUCUCUCCGCAGGCAAAGGAAGUCCACAGCUUCUUCCCUGAACUAGACAGCUACGUGUGAUUUAACUUGUGGAAUCUUGCUUGGACUCAUCCGUAUGGGAAAUUUGGCCAGAAAUUUCCUGUCAUAGAAACAGUGGUGAUGCUGGAGAACUGCUUGUAAGGUACAGCUAUUUCAGUGGAUGCAAAUAGCAUCAGCUGUGAACUCCACAUAGCAUAAGAAGAGCAGGGAAUAUGUGGAAGAAGAAUAAAGGAAAGGCUAAGGAGCUAGCACAUCCUAUCUGCAUCGUGCUGAUCCACUUGCUGUCAGGAGAACUGGUCCCAUCUUGGGCAGCCCUUAUGGGGUUGGGUUAUGCCCACACUGGGCGAUCCCCCCAUGUCUCUGCAUGCUGCACACCCCUCCUUUGGCCUAUGGGAGAUAAAGAGAGAGCUGCUUCCGUGCAGCUCCUGUCCCAAAGCCUCCAGCCUCAGCCCGGUUUCAGAAAUGGGAUUCACAAUCUCAACAGCAACCUGUUGCUGGUACGUAGAGAAUGCUUAUCAACAACUGCUAAGUCAUCUGCAAGCUUUUCAGCUGAUAUAAGUAUCUGCAUCCUUCUGCACAAGUGUUGUUCUCUUUGUGUCUCUGGGUUCUCUUCUGGGUUUAGCUGGCACUUGAUCUUGCCAGUAAAAUCUGAUGCUUCUUGCUAUAAUAAUGAGAAAGACUCGGGAAAGAAAAAUUAAGUGUUUAUGAGUCAGAAUUCUAGACUUAGCUCUUUUGUGCCACACUAAUGCAAUUGGAGUGAAUAAAAUCAUGCAUCAAUCCAACCGCAGUUCUCUUUGCUGCAGAUCUACAAGUAUUAAAGAAAAAUAAGAGGGGAAAAAAAAACAACAACUCUACAAAGCUUUACUAAAUCACACAAGAUAAUAAAAACAAAUGUUUUGCGUUAUACUGUCAAAGAAAGAAAAAAGACUUCUGCCCUCUCCUGAUUGAGUAUUUCAUUGCCUGCAUCCAUAACCAGUGAAAAGUAGAUAUCUCCAUCCAGGCUUGUUGAAGAAGCGCUUCUGUUGCUGCAAAGGACAUAGUGGAUGCACUGAUCACUACGUUCUGUUAAGCCACUGCGUGGUCACAGUAUGAGAGCUGAGGGAAAAGUAAAUUACAGAGGAAGGCGUGACCCUUCUGUGAUGGGUAGCUGUGUAUUUCCGUGCUGAUAGCCAAGGUCAUGCAAACUCUCAAGCCUCUGCUCACCCCAGGGAAUCUUAGUUCAGGACGUUCCUUACAGCACAAUUAGUCACUCGGUGUUUUGUCUGUGCCCUCUCUCUUCUUAUCUCACCAUUACUUCCUCUGCUUUAAGGCUCAUGUAUCCAGGGGAUGCGGGCAGCUGGAGAAAUAUUCUUUUAAUGAGCCUCAUUUGUUAGGUGCUACUGUUGAUGAAACUAUUAGAUGGAAUCAAAAAUUGAACAUAGUUACAGUACCUAUGUUUGCUAUCUACAAAAAAAGUGUGCUAAUGCAGCUUGGUUGCUAUGGUACAAAAGCUGACAUCAGGAACACGAAGAUGCAUUUGCCUUUUCGCAGUACUUAAGAUGGCAGGCUCGUUGACUAAUCUGGUGGGUGGCAUACUGCACUGUUACUUAACAAGGUGCUUCUGGUGCACGAGAAAUGGAAACAGGGAUCAGUUGCUGCUUAGAAUGUAAUCAAGUUUCUCAAGUCUGAUUCCAGUGUUCUGCCUGUCCACUUUGGGAGUGUUUGUACUUAAUUCCUUUCUUUCAUUAUUUUUUUUCCCCAAUGCCUUUUUCAGUCUAUUCUGAUCUUAGCAGAAGCCUUAGUUCUGUUCAGUUUGACUACAUGCAUUACUUAAGUGUAGUAAUUCUUAGGAGCAAAAGAAAGACCACGUAUACAGGUAGAAGGAAGAGGUUGAUUUUAUUGUGUUUUAUCUGAAAGUGGAUGUAAAACUUGUGAAAAUUACUACCUUAGUAGCUCUAGAAGAGGAACCUUCCUCUGCUUAUCCAUUGAAAAUCCAGUGUGGAGAACAGCAGUAUCGAUUUAUCAUAUGUUGAUCUCCUAUGUGCUUUAAGCCAAACCAGGAGAGAUCUUGGCUAGGAGCAGAAAGCUACUGAUUUUCAGAGGGAGUGAUUUCACAUUUAGUGAAACCAGUGCCAGUGUUUUUAUGUAUUGCACUCAGUUUUGCACCAUGCUUUCAGACCAUUCCUCUUUGGCACUGCUGCUUAGCUUCUGAGUAAGACCAAGCUCAUGCUGUUGCUGUCACAAGGCUUCCUACCCGUUCAAACCAGGCACUGUGGCAACAUAUUUGAAAGAAUCUUCACCCACAACUUAGCCUUGAAAAUGUUGCCAAUAAUGAAUUCCUUCCUUAACCAACACUUACUUUCUGGGAAUAGUGAAACAAGGCUGCUUUGGGCAAGUGAUGUGAAGUGAUAGGUCUGCAAGCCCUUGUUAUGACUCACCUUCGUUUCUAUCACGUGUUCCUCUGCUACUUUGUCCUUUGCCUUUAUCACACUGUACACACUUGUGGCUCCCCAGAAGAUAGAUGGUGUUUGUUGUAAAACAUUCUGAACGUUUUUCAAGUGAGUUACGCCCUUUCUGUAAACCCAACAAUAAAUUACAAUGAGUUACUAAUUAGUAGGGGUGUUAAAAUACGAAAUGAUGUAACGAGCAAGCUGCAUUAGCCAUUUCCUGUAGGAAAGAAGCAUAGAGAGUUAAUUUGCAUCCAGAUGCUUAUCCAAAUAGAAGUCAUUACAGGACUGGAGCUUAAGCUGACACAGGUCAGCGAGGUGGCCAAUAUCACCAAGCCAGAGGGGACGGGGUUCCCUCUAUCCCAGUGUCUGACUUUCCUGCUGCUCACACUGCAAGCAAUCUAGAGGCUUUCAAGCAACUUCGCUGGGUUUGGGAGCUUUGUUUUGUAAUUAACGUCCCGUUACUCAUGCUGGGAGCAUGUCGUGUGAAGGUCAAACACUUGGAAAUAGAAGGGCCAGCCGCUGGUGGAGGUAAAAUUAGUUCUGGUGUUUCCACUGAUGCUUCCUGCGUGCGGAGACAGCGCCGGUGGGUGCCGCAGAGGGCACGUCGGCAAUGGCAUCAGCUGCUGCAGCAGGGAGCCGCCAACGGGAGGUCUGCCCGCGCCCCGGGGCGGCUGCUUCCAGCAUCCCGAUCCGUGCUGUGACGCGGGGAUUUUGUGUUCUAAACGAGAAGCUGAGGCGCACGGGGGAGAAGGAGGAAACCGUCUGUCUUCCGUUCCGCCGCGGCGUUCCUAACCCACGCCCCGGCCCCGCAGUCGCUCAGCCGGGGCCGCUUCAGUGGUGCUGAGGCCGCCCUGAAGCUCGAAGCCGUUCUGUAGGCGGUCCCGCAGCUUCUCGGUAACCCCCCCGGGCUCUUUGGGGGCUUUCCGGCGCGGUUACCCACCGGCCCCGUCCCGCCCGCUCCGCCCCGGCAGCUCGCGGGGCCGGACGCGCUGCCUUCCUGCCGUUCGCCUUCGCUCCCGGUGCGGUGCGGCCUUCUCCCGUGAAUCAGCACUGACUCAGCCGGCCGGCAUCUCGCCGUAGAAAGCAGACCGUUGAAAGAACGCUCUCGGUGACCGUAAUCCACGUCUUACGGCGCUGACGGAAAGUCACGGCACGCACCGGGCCCCUCCGUCCGCGGGCACAGGGCGACGCUCACCUCCUCGGACCUCCGCGGCCCUCCGCCUCACCCCGUUACGAACUCCCCGGGAGGCACCGAACCCGGGAGCCGCUAUUGCUGAGGGUCCGUAAGGGAAGAGGGGCGGU
ensembl:lncRNA